CUACGGGAGGCAGCAGUCGGGAAUUUUGCGCAAUGGGCGAAAGCCUGACGCAGCAACGCCGCGUGAGGGAUGAAGGCCUUCGGGUUGUAAACCUCUUUUCUCAGGGACGAUGAUGACGGUACCUGAGGAAGAAGCCACGGCUAACUACGUGCCAGCAGCCGCGGUAAUACGUAGGUGGCGAGCGUUGUCCGGAUUUACUGGGCGUAAAGAGCGCGCAGGCGGUCGUACGAGUCGCGUGUGAAAGCCCCCGGCUCAACUGGGGAGGGUCACGCGAUACUGUUCGACUCGAAGGCAGGAGAGGGAAGCGGAAUUCCCGGUGUAGUGGUGAAAUGCGUAGAUAUCGGGAGGAACACCAGUGGCGAAGGCGGCUUCCUGGCCUGUUCUUGACGCUGAGGCGCGAAAGCUAGGGUAGCAAACGGGAUUAGAUACCCUGGU
rnacentral:rRNA from 1 species